UAUGCACUCCUUGGGAGGCCCAAGCCCACCCAAACUGCGUUCCGCAUCCUCGGGCGGGUGGAAUCGCGGCGGCGCGCCCGGUUCCUGCCAGCCACCCCGAGCGCCGCCAACUCCGGCGAUGUUGGGCCACAUGUUCGGAGACCGCCGCUUCUUCGGUCUUCCUCUCCGGUGCUCCUUCCCAUGAGAUUCUUCUGGAUGUGCCUCGUUGAAACAUCUAUAGCAGUACACCUUCCCUACCACCUUAAUAACAGGAGCAUAUGCUGGUGAUAAUGAAAGAGAAGGUGGUGACAAGCUUCUGGCUGCCUCACCGUGCAUUGCAAACAUGGCAAUCACCACAGCUAAGACCAGCCAUAAGUGACCCUUUGGCUGGCCUCCCACGCUCAUUUUCAUUGCUGGACAGCUCUUCUGAAGUGAGAGGAUGAGGGGGAAUGUGAAUGGGUUUGGCUUUGGUAUGGAUGGGUAUUUAUAAUGUUCAAGGUGGCACCUGUCAUGGUUUGAGGGACAGCAGGGAAAAGAUUUUCUGGUCAGGCGAGUGCAGAAUAAGUCCUGCAGUUCCAGGAGCCCAGGGCCUGAUGCAUGCAAGAUUUACCCUUGCUUCAGAAGAAAAAAUAUUCAGGUGAUCCGAGGUGAGUGGUAUGUGUAGCUUCAACUGCUCAAAGAUACUAGCUCGCUGACCAUAACAGAGCAGCUCACCAACCUCAGGGCAAAGCAAAGCAAAGCAUGAGGUGUUGUGUCCUUGGUCAAAGGAAGCUUUUGCAGGGCGCGUGCAUCCCUUGUCUGAUCUGCUCCACGAAUGAAUUGAGCAGGUUUAACAAACAAAUAUGCUAUCGUUUUGUUUCCCUUUCUAUGCUCUAAGUUUGUUUGACCUCUUGCAAUCAUCUGUCAGACCUGAGAUUUUGGAUGGAACUGAACCCAUGAUGCACACGGCUUUAGAGAGAUCCCAUUUGAUUAGCAGAAAAUAAACAUUUAGUAUAUGGGGAUUUAAAAUCUUAAAUUUAUUCUCAAAUUGUUUUUAGAGAAUCCCUUUCUUUUUUUGGCUCAA